AUUGAACGCUGGCGGCAGGCUUAACACAUGCAAGUCGAGCGGGGGAAGGUAGCUUGCUACUGGACCUAGCGGCGGACGGGUGAGUAAUGCUUAGGAAUCUGCCUAUUAGUGGGGGACAACAUCUCGAAAGGGAUGCUAAUACCGCAUACGUCCUACGGUAUAAAGCAGGGGAUCUUCGGACCUUGCGCUAAUAGAUGAGCCUAAGUCGGAUUAGGUAGGUGGUGGGGUAAAGGCCUACCAAGGCGACGAUCUGUAGCAGGUCUGUGAGGAUGAACCGCCACACUGGGACUGAGACACGGCCCAGACUCCUACGGGAGGCAGCAGUGGGGAAUAUUGGACAAUGGGGGGAACCCUGAUCCAGCCAUGCCGCGUGUGUGAAGAAGGCCUUAUGGUUGUAAAGCACUUUAAGCGAGGAGGAGGCUACUUUAGUUAAUACCUAGAGAUAGUGGACGUUACUCGCAGAAUAAGCACCGGCUAACUCUGUGCCAGCCGCCGCCGUAA
rnacentral:rRNA from 1 species